CCUACGGGCGGCAGCAGUGGGGAAUAUUGGACAAUGGGGGGAACCCUGAUCCAGCCAUGCCGCGUGUGUGAAGAAGGCCCUCGGGUUGUAAAGCACUUUCAGUGAGGAAGAACGCCUGGUGGUUAAUACCCAUCAGGAAAGACAUCACUCACAGAAGAAGCACCGGCUAACUCCGUGCCAGCAGCCGCGGUAAUACGGAGGGUGCGAGCGUUAAUCGGAAUUACUGGGCGUAAAGCGCGCGUAGGUGGCUUGAUAAGCCGGUUGUGAAAGCCCCGGGCUCAACCUGGGAACGGCAUCCGGAACUGUCAAGCUAGAGUGCAGGAGAGGAAGGUAGAAUUCCCGGUGUAGCGGUGAAAUGCGUAGAGAUCGGGAGGAAUACCAGUGGCGAAGGCGGCCUUCUGGACUGACACUGACACUGAGGUGCGAAAGCGUGGGUAGCAAACAGGACUAGAUACCCGAGUAGUC
rnacentral:rRNA from 1 species